rnacentral:rRNA from 1 species
GACGAACGCUGGCGGCGUGCUUAACACAUGCAAGUCGAGCGGUAAGGCCCUUUCGGGGGUACGACGAGCGGCGAACGGGUGAGUAACACGUGGGUGACCUGCCCUCAGCUCUGGGAUAAGCCUGGGAAACCGGGUCUAAUACCGGAUAUGACUCCAUGACGCAUGUUGUGGGGUGGAAAGCCUUGUGCGGCUGAGGAUGGGCCCGCGGCCUAUCAGCUUGUUGG